ensembl:lncRNA
UGCAGGUGUGUCAGGAAGCUGAGUUUGUAAACCCAGAGAAGCUUUGUGCCAGAACCUUUUCUGAAACUCAAGGUGUGGCGGCUGCUUUUUAAUUCCUGGUGUGUCUGAUCUGAAACCAUCACCAUACCACUAAUUAAAGAACUGAAAGGGGUGGUUGGUAUCGUGUUGUAGUGCCUUUGGAAGCUGGAAAAGUGCCACUGGAUACAGGCUGGAGUCAGUGCAGCUGAGAUGCAGAAUCCUUGAGCAGGAUGCUCUUGGUCUGCAGUGACGAAUCUGAUGGACACAGGGGCUCAUUUUGGGGUUUUUCACAUUAAAAUGACAGAACAAAUAAACUGGGAGAGCUUUGUCCCAAUGAUGUCUUCAGGAGCAGUGAAGUUUGCAUUUUCAGUUUUCCCACAUAAACUUCCCAAACUCUAAAGGGUGAACAGUGUUUCAUCCUUCCUUAUCUUUCCCUCUCCUCGCCUUUUCUGGCCCAGGAGCUUUAAUAAGAAAGGGCUUCAGCAUUUUGGCAUUUUUAAGGACACAAUCCUUCAGUGGGAAAAAGCACUUAGGUGUGGGAUCAUUGCUGGGGAUGGGAGAGAAGAAGCAAAUGAAGAAGCUGCCACUUUGUCAGCUUUUGUGCUUUUCCAUGGAGAGCAGAGCCAGGCCUCCAAAGGAAAUGGGAAUAGAGGAGCUCUGCCUUGAGAAGAAGGAGAAAAUGAGAAAGAAGAAGAAAAAAGGAGAAGAAAGAAGAAGAAGAAAAAGCUGCCAGUGACUUUGUGCCUUUUCAUGGAGAGCAGAGCCAGGCCUCCAAAGGAAAUGGGAGGAGAUGAGCUCUGCCAUGAGAAGAAGAAGAAAAGAAGAAGAAAACAAAGAAGAAAAAAGAAGAAGCAAAUGAAGAAGCUGCCAGUGAGUUUGUGCUUUUCCAUGGAGAGCAGAGCCAGGCCUCCAAAGGAAAUGGAAGGAGAGGACUCUGCCUUGAGCCUUCAGCAGCCAGAUCUCUGCAUCUCAGUGCUCAGGUGGCUGUGCAGGGAGGGCUGGCCUGGAAAUGGGCAGGAUUCCCCUCAGCUGGGUUCUGCAGUCUCUGGGGUUGUUGCGUUGUUCCUGGAGCAGGGUGAGGCUCAGGGACAGGCUGGGACACGCUGGAGUCACUCGCUGUGCCGGGCUGGGGACAGGGAAUCUGCGUCAUGUCUGUGUCUGUCUGUCUGUCCCUCACAACUGCAGCCUGGGCUCAGCCAGCUGCACCUGGACAGAGAAUUCCCUCCCCUGUUCCCCCUUUUCAUCCCCAGCCGCCCCAGAGCAGGGACAGCACAGGGGGACCCAGUGUCAAAGGCUCUUUGGCAGUUUUGGUACCAUGAGGGAUUUAUUGCUGUGCCUGCUCCUGCCAGGCAGCACUUCCUGGCUUUAGGAGCUGCAAAAUGAGCCUGCAUGCCUGUGUUCAUCAAAUACUGAAUUCCAGCGUGUCGUGGUGCCAUCACCUGAGCACAGGUGAGUGUGUGAGAGCCUGAGCUGGGCUCUUUUCCAUGGCCAGCCCCUCACAGCCCUGCCUGGCCUCUCCCCACUGCAAUUCCCAGGCAAUUUCUCAUGCCCACGGGUCUAAUCCACAGUAAUUCCAGCCUCUGGUCAUGAUGUCCUAAAAAGAGAAAACAUUUCUAGUCCAAAAUAACCAAGGUUUACUGAAGUCAUUCAUAUUCACACUGGCAAAUAUCCAAACAUCUUUCUGUUUGCCUACUUCCUUUCCCAUCCUCCAGCCUGCAUGGGUUCUUCUCCUUAAAGAAAAGAAACUUUCACUUCUAAAUUUCAGUGCGUUUUAUUGCUGUAAAUCUCAAAAUAGGAAGGGAAAAAGCCUUCAGGUAAAAAUCAGAAUUUAAAAACUCAUUCUUUCCUGGCUGGGACAUUUGUUCCUUAUUUGUAUCUUCAGUUUUAAAUAUGCAAAUUUAUUUAUUUUUAUCCUGCUGAAGCUGCUUCAGAGAGGCAGUGUCAGAGUGGUGGUUUCUACCUGAAGAGGGGUUUUUGUGUGUGGAAUUCCUGGAGCUGGGAGAGAUGCUGUAAUCAGAUAGGAAUUUGGGAAAUGUAUAGGUCUUUCAGGAAUGCAUAGCUCAUGUUGUCAUCGUUUUUCAGCUCUCCACCAUCCAAACUUUGCUUUAGCUAAUGCAAGCCAGAUGGGUUAUUGCUAUUUUAUACACUAAUAUUUGUAUUUAGGCUUUUUUAAUGGUCUCUGCUAAUAGUGCUGAGGCAGUAGGAAUUGUAUAAUCAUGAUUAAGGAAUUUUUUUUUACUUGAGUUGUUUUGUUUGUUUCUCGGUGCUGGUUAUGGAUCAGGUGUUGCAGAGAUUUGAUUAUUUUAUGUUUCACUAGGGGAAAAAAAAGGUUGGUUAAAAAUGGAUUUCUGGUCUGCUUUGGGAGAAAGAACCAGAGUGGUUUAUACAAAUGCAAUAAAUAAAUAAAUAACUCCGGGAAAAAAAAAACC